rnacentral:rRNA from 1 species
UCACUGACUCCUCUUCCUGAUGAACUGUAAUGCCACUAAUUUGGUGUUGCAGGAAACUGGACUGUUACUUUGAAAAAAUUAGAGUGUUUAAAGCAAGCUAACGCUUGAAUACAUUAGCAUGGAAUAAUGAAAUAGGACGUUUCGAUCCCUAUUUUGUUGGUUUCUAGGAUUGACGUAAUGAUUAAUAGGGAUAUUGGGGGCAUUAGUAUUCAAUUGUCAGAGGUGAAAUUCUUGGAUUUAUUGAAGACUAACUACUGCGAAAGCAUUUGCCCAAGGAUGUUUUCAUUAAUCAAGAACGAAAGUUAGGGGAUCGAAGACGAUCAGAUACCGUCGUAGUCUUAACCAUAAACUAUGCCGACUAGGGAUCGGAUAAUGUUAAUUUUUUAAUGACUCAUUCGGCGCCUUACG